rnacentral:sRNA from 1 species
AACCUCAGAGUCCUAGAUGGAUAUGUGAUUUCUCAGAAGGAAAGUUUGAAAGCUGAAUGGCUCUAUAGUCAAGGCAAGGGGAGAGCAUAUCGG